GAAUUUAUUUCUUAAUCUCUUUCUUUUACUCGAUAAUGACAGAAUCGAUUCCGUUUCAAGAUUUAUUAAUAAUCGAUAUUCGUUCGAUGGAAAUAUAUAUCGAAUUCGAUCGUAAAAUCAAUCAAAAGUUCGAUAUCGAAUCACUUCAUGUAUCAAAGGAUGACAAGCAAAACGUAUUAUCCUUAUCGAGGGUAGCCAGCCCGUGAACGCAUGCGAAGCUCUGUGGAUGAGAAAGACAGGGAUGCUGGUGUUGAAGCACAAGGGUUGUCGUCGUCGUUGGUGGAGGAGGUGGCGGAGGUGGUGGAGGAUGAGGAAGAGAAGUGAGCCACGUCACGCCUGGCUCCGCUCUGUGUCAUUUGCCGUUUUGCUGUAGUGCUGCGUUAAUUUGUGCCCACAGUUCUUUGGUACAGGAUUGAGAUCUAGAAAUAAAAUUAUAUUUUUAGUAUCAGUUAUUUAUUUUAUAUAAUUAGUAUCACUAUUAUUGUAAAAUUUCUUACAUAGUGAACUAAAAGAAUCAGUAUUUACUCUUUUUUU